rnacentral:rRNA from 1 species
UCAGGCCUAACACAUGCAAGUCGAGGGGCAGCGGGAGUGCUUGCACUCGCCGGCGACCGGCGCACGGGUGCGGAACGCGUAUCGAAUCUGCCUCUAUCUGGGGGAUACCCCAUGGAAACGUGGAAUAAUACCCCAUAGUAUUACUUUAUCGCAUGAUUUAGUAAUUAAAGAAUUUCGGAUAGAGAUGACGAUGCGUAUCAUUAGCUAGUAGGCAAGGUAACGGCUUACCUAGGCAACGAUGAUUAGGGGUCCUGAGAGGGAGAUCCCCCACACUGGUACUGAGACACGGACCAGACUCCUACGGGAGGCAGCAGUGAGGAAUAUUGGACAAUGGUCGAAAGACUGAUCCAGCCAUGCCGCGUGCAGGAUGAAUGCCCUAUGGGUUGUAAACUGCUUUUAUACGGGAAGAAAAACACCUACGCGUAGGUGACUGACGGUACCGUAAGAAUAAGGACCGGCUAACUCCGUGCCAGCAGCCGCGGUAAUACGGAGGGUCCAAGCGUUAUCCGGAAUCAUUGGGUUUAAAGGGUCCGUAGGCGGGCUAUUAAGUCAGAGGUGAAAGUUUGCAGCUCAACUGUAAAAUUGCCUUUGAUACUGAUAGUCUUGAAUUGUAGUGAAGUGGUUAGAAUAUGUGGUGUAGCGGUGAAAUGCAUAGAUAUCACAUAGAAUACCGAUUGCGAAGGCAGAUCACUAACUAUAU